rnacentral:rRNA from 1 species
GAUGAACGCUGGCGGCGUGCCUAAUACAUGCAGGUCGAGCGAACAGACGAGGAGCUUGCUCCUCUGACGUUAGCGGCGGACGGGUGAGUAACACGUGGAUAACCUACCUAUAAGACUGGGAUAACUUCGGGAAACCGGAGCUAAUACCGGAUAAUAUAUUGAACCGCAUGGUUCAAUAGUGAAAGACGGUUUUGCUGUCACUUAUAGAUGGAUCCGCGCCGCAUUAGCUAGUUGGUAAGGUAACGGCUUACCAAGGCAACGAUGCGUAGCCGACCUGAGAGGGUGAUCGGCCACACUGGAACUGAGACACGGUCCAGACUCCUACGGGAGGCAGCAGUAGGGAAUCUUCCGCAAUGGGCGAAAGCCUGACAGAGCAACGCCGCGUGAGUGAUGAAGGUCUUCGGAUCGUAAAACUCUGUUAUUAGGGAAGAACAAAUGUGUAAGUAACUAUGCACGUCUUGACGGUACCUAAUCAGAAAGCCACGGCUAACUACGUG